GAUGAACGCUAGCGGCAGGCCUAAUACAUGCAAGUCGAACGGAUAUAUGUUUUUCGGAAUAUAUAUUAGUGGCGCACGGGUGAGUAACACGUACAUAACUUGCCCUCAAGCGGGGGAUAGCCCUUGGGAAAACUGAGAGUAAUACCCCCAUAGAAUUAUUGGACGGCAUCGUUUGAUAAUUAAAACCUACGGUGCUUGGGGAUAGAUGUGCGUCUGAUUAGCUAGUUGGUGAGGUAACUGCUCACCAAGGCGACGAUCAGUAGGGGGCGUGAGAGCGUGGCCCCCCCACACGGGUACUGAGACACGGACCCGACUCCUACGGGAGGCAGCAGUAAGGAAUAUUGGUCAAUGGAGGGAACUCUGAACCAGCCAUUGCCGCGUGAAGGAUGACGG
rnacentral:rRNA from 1 species